UUUCUUUUUAAUACAAUUUUCCUUUGACCAUAUGAUUAAUUAUGAAUGUAGAAAUGAAAAUCAGAUAUGGCUACGUAGCAAGACCAUCAUGGAGGGAGUGUUGCAACUUGUAAGCAAUUAAAGAAAUUGUAUCGGGCGUCAUCAUAAGAACAUCAAGCAAGACCUACAGUCUUUAAAUUGAGUGUUCAGGUUUUCAUUCAAGAUAUUAGGAAUAGCUUCAGUGUAAGUCGCUUUGAUGCAUUAUUUUUAAAUUUAUUGUGUAGUUUCUAGAGACAAAAAGAAGACAAAUCAUGGAAGCGAUCUUUCUUAUUAG
rnacentral:misc_RNA from 1 species